GACAAACGCUGGCGGCGUGCUUAACACAUGCAAGUCGAACGGGCCUGCCUGGCUUUGGUUGGGUGGGUGAGUGGCGAACGGGUGAGUAACACGUGAGUAACCUGCCCUCUUCUCUUGGAUAACUGCUUGAAAGGGCGGCUAAUACGGGAUGUUCUGGCUGCCUCGCAUGGGGUGGUUUGGAAAGAUUCGGCCUGGUUUUGGUUGUUUUGGUGGGGGAUGGGCUCGCGGCUUAUCAGCUUGUUGGUGGGGUGAUGGCCUACCAAGGCGGUGACGGGUAGCCGGCCUGAGAGGGUGGACGGUCACACUGGGACUGAGACACGGCCCAGACUCCUGCGGGAGGCAGCAGUGGGGGAUUUUGCACAAUGGGCGCAAGCCUGAUGCAGCGACGCCGCGUGAGGGAUGGAGGCCUUCGGGUUGUGAACCUCUGUCGCCGGUGAUGUAGGCUCUGCUUUGUGGGUGGGGUUGACGGAGCCGGGGAUGAA
rnacentral:rRNA from 1 species